rnacentral:rRNA from 1 species
AUGCGUCGCAUGAAGCACCGAAAAGGGUCAGCAUCCUCCAUCGAGUUCCAUGCGCUUGCCACAACCUCUUGGAAACCGGCAAGACGCGUCCAAUACUCCUCGAAGUGGAACCGGCGAUGCACCUUAGGCAUUGGCGAGCAGUCAAGCAUGAGAGGUGAGUGGUCUGAGACGACCAUGGCCAAACAGUGUAGGUGGCAUUCGCCGUCUAGCUCCUCCCAGUAUGCGGAGCACAUCACCCGAUCGAGAUGGACCAAGGUAGGCAGGUUCUACCCGUUCGACCAAGUACAGCACCGGCCAUUGAGGUAG